CCUUCUAUGCACACCAAAUAAUAAUAAUAAUAAUAAUAAUAAUAAUAAUAAUAAUAACAACAACAACAACAACAUUUUGCCAGCAAUGUGGGCAUCUCUUAUCCUAUUUGAAUCAACACAUACAUUAACCAUUACAGGAUUAUCUAUUAUUACCUUUUUACAGAUUUUAUUUUUAAGUAGCUGAAUAGGGUUAAAUAAAUGCCCAAAGUUUAGUAAGCUUAGAAGGUGAAGCUGGAAGAAUUAUGUAAACUCAGACCAUUUCCCCUUACUCCCCCUUCUGGCCACAGCAUCAUAUCUCCAUCCCACUCCCAGGACUCUUUAAGAGUUCCCUUUUCUUCAUUUUACUGCCAGAGACCUGAUGACAUCAUUUCUGGUCUGACACCAAUUCUACUCCAGUAUGUUCCCCAGGAGAGUCAGCCCCCCCCAACACCUGCUAUUUCUUCCUGUUUCUGCAGAGAAGAUCCUGGGAAACAAACCUAAGAAAAACAGCAAAAGAAAAGUGAUCCAAGAAGAAAACUGCCCUUGGGAGAGAGGAGACAUUUUUUCGUCUUAGAUAAUUGUGAGUGAUUAAUUAGGAUCUGUGGGAGAAAAAAAGCUGACCUAGGCCUGUCGUAGAAAUCAACACUGUGAGACCAAGGAAGGGCCCUAUCAAAGGCUACAGUCAGGAAACAAAGAACGGGAAGCAGCAAUUCUUUUUUUUUUUUUUUUUCAAUGUUCAGAACAAAGCGGACGAGAAGCUUGGCAGGAUAAAGGGUUACCAUUUCAUAGUUCCAGUGGAAAAAGCACUUCGUGCUCGACACUGAAGAUAUGUGGGAAGAGAGCUGGACUGGCCAUCUGGAAGCAGGAAGGAUGGAGAGGAAGUGAGCUGCUCCUGAAUGCUGCCAAGCUGUCCCCAAAAUAUGCCGUCUUGAGUGGCUGCCUUAUUGUGUAAGAAGACAUAAAAUCCAGAUGUUCUCUCAGCUGUAAUGUUGCAGAACAGCAUACCUUCCUCCUGGAUGCAGGGCCGCUGUGAUUGCUUUUUUCCACCAAGAGGCAGACAGCCCUGCUCACAUCUAGCUGCAGGACAAGCUAAUGAUGACAGACAAGUCUGAGGGCUUGCCUUUGAUUGUGGGUUCCUCACCAACCUCACAAGAAGGACGUGUAAGAG
rnacentral:lncRNA from 1 species